AUUGAACGCUGGCGGCAUGCCUUACACAUGCAAGUCGAACGGUAACAGGUCUUCGGAUGCUGACGAGUGGCGAACGGGUGAGUAAUACAUCGGAACGUGCCCGAGAGUGGGGGAUAACGCGGCGAAAGCUUUGCUAAUACCGCAUACGAUCUCAGGAUGAAAGCAGGGGACCGCAAGGCCUUGCGCUCACGGAGCGGCCGAUGGCAGAUUAGGUAGUUAGUGGGAUAAAAGCUUACCAAGCCGACCACCUGUAGCUGGUCUGAGAGGACGACCAGCCACACUGGGACUGAGACACGGCCAAGACACAUACGGGAGGCAGCAGUGGGGAAUUUUGGACAAUGGGCGCAAGCCUGAUCCAGCCAUGCCGCGUGCAGGAUGAAGGCCUUCGGGUUGUAAACUGCUUUUGUACGGAACGAAAAGACUCCUUAUGAUAAAGGUGGUCCAUGACGGUACGGUAAGAAUAAGCACCGGCUAACUACCUGCCAGCGGCCGCGGUAAAAC
rnacentral:rRNA from 1 species